GGGGCUGUAGCUCAGCUGGGAGAGCGUGAAUGGCAUUCACGAGGUCGGCGGUUCGAUCCCGCUCAGCUCCACCA
rnacentral:tRNA from 1 species